rfam:Shimwellia blattae DSM 4481 = NBRC 105725, complete genome.
CUAACCCAUCUUGAUGUGGUUAUUUCAGUCAUUAAGUGAUUGAUUGUCAGGGCAAUAAUUUAUUGCCCUUUUUAUUU